rnacentral:rRNA from 1 species
AGUGAACGCUGGCGGUAGGCCUAGCACAUGCAAGUCGAACGGCAGCACAGUAAGAGCUUGCUCUUACGGGUGGCGAGUGGCGGACGGGUGAGGAAUACAUCGUACUCUACUUUUUCGUGGGGGAUAACGUAGGGAAACUUACGCUAAUACCGCAUACGCCCUCCUGUUGAAAGCAUGGGAUCUUCUGACCUUGCGCGAUUGAAUGAGCCGAUGUCGGAUUAGCUAGUUGGCGGGGUAAAGGCCCACCAAGGCGACGAUCCGUAGCUGGUCUGAGAGGAUGAUCAGCCACACUGGAACUGAGACACGGUCCAGACUCCUACGGGAGGCAGCAGUGGGGAAUAUUGGACAAUGGGCGCAAGCCUGAUCCAGCCAUACCGAGUGGGUGAAGAAGGCCUUCGGGUUGUAAAGCCCUUUUGUUGGGAAAGAAAAGCAGCAGGUUAAUACCCCGCUGUUCUGACGGUACCCAAAGAAUAAGCACCGGCUAACUUCGUG